rnacentral:rRNA from 1 species
UACGUAGGGUGCAAGCGUUGUCCGGAAUUAUUGGGCGUAAAGGGCUCGUAGGCGGUUUGUCGCGUCGGGAGUGAAAUCCACUGGCUUAACUGGUGGCUUGCUUUCGAUACGGGCAGACUGGAGGUAUGCAGGGGAGAACGGAAUUCCUGGUGUAGCGGUGAAAUGCGCAGAUAUCAGGAGGAACACCAAUAGCGAAGGCAGCUCGCUGGGACGAUACUGACGCUAAGGCGCGAAAGCGUGGGGAGCGAACAGG